rnacentral:rRNA from 1 species
UCGCGGUAAUACGUAGAAGACUAGUGUUAUUCAUCUUUAAUAGGUUUAAAGGGUACCUAGACGGUAAAUCAAGCCUUCAAGGGGACUAGUUUACUAGAGUUACUUGUGAGGGGGUAUUAAAGUACUGCUGGUGUAGAGAUGAAAUUCUGUGAUACCUCUUUUCGUAAGAAAAAUAAUGGCACAGGUAUAGGCGAAAGCAUCCCCUUAUGUGAUAACUGACGUUGAAGGACGAAGGCUUUGUGUAGCGAACAGGAUUAGAUACCCCAGUAGUCAAAGCAGAAAAUGAUGAAUGUCAUAGAUUAGACAUAUAAUAGUUUAUUCUAUAAAUGAAAGUGUAAGCAUUCCACCUCAAGAGUAAUUUGGCAACAUUGGAACUGAAAUCAUUAGACCGUUUCUGAAACCAGUAGUGAAGUAUGUUGUUUAAUUUGAUAAUCCAC